CAACAAUUCCUCCUCCAACAGAACAUGCUUUGUUUAGUACCAGGAAUACCACAGGAGAUUGAGCAGUGAAAUUUGAACCUUCUUGAAUCUGUUUCUUCCAACAAGACAAUACUAAAGUGUUGUGCUGGAGUUUCUGAGAAUGUGAGUGCAGCAGCUCAUUGUUAGAACUUCAUAUUUAAGGUUUUACAAUGCAGGCUGCUUUACAUUUGCAAUUUUUGUGUGUUUUUUCCCAUCUGGUUCAUGGUUUGGUUUAGUUACCCACUCUAAGGCGGCUUUGCAGAGAACAGACAUUUAUCAGUGUUUGCAGAGUGUGCCAUCCCCUUCCUGCUUGGGAAGCAGAAAGAGAGCAUGGGGUGAUAUUGUGAUGAUGACCUUUGGCAAGCUGAGAUGCAAAGCACCCCGUCGGAAUUUCCUCCAGCACAAAGGAUUCCCAAAGAAACAGAGAAGGAAACCUAUGUGGGCAAUUGUCAGAAGCAAAAUUGUCAUCCACAG
rnacentral:lncRNA from 12 species